GACGAACGCUGGCGGCGUGCUUAACACAUGCAAGUCGAACGGAAAGGCCCUGCUUGCAGGGUACUCGAGUGGCGAACGGGUGAGUAACACGUGGGUGAUCUGCCCUGCACUUCGGGAUAAGCCUGGGAAACUGGGUCUAAUACCGGAUAGGAGCCAUUUUUAGUGUGAUGGUUGGAAAGUUUUUUCGGUGUAGGAUGAGCUCGCGGCCUAUCAGCUUGUUGGUGGGGUAAUGGCCUACCAAGGCGGCGACGGGUAGCCGGCCUGGGAGGGUGGACGGCCACAUUGGGACUGGGAUACGGCCCAGACUCCUACGGGUGGCAGCAGUGGGGAAUAUUGCACAAUGGGCGCAAGCCUGAUGCAGCGACGCCGCGUGGGGGAUGACGGCCUUCGGGUUGUAAACUCCUUUCGCUAGGGACGAAGCUUUUUGUGACGGUACCUAGAUAAGAAGCACCGGCUAACUACGUG
rnacentral:rRNA from 1 species